rnacentral:rRNA from 1 species
ACUCCUACGGGAGGCAGCAGUAGGGAAUCUUCCACAAUGGACGAAAGUCUGAUGGAGCAACGCCGCGUGAGUGAAGAAGGUUUUCGGAUCGUAAAACUCUGUUGUAAGGGAAGAACACGUACGAGAGUAACUGCUCGUACCUUGACGGUACCUUAUUAGAAAGCCACGGCUAACUACGUGCCAGCAGCCGCGGUAAUACGUAGGUGGCAAGCGUUGUCCGGAAUUAUUGGGCGUAAAGCGCGCGCAGGCGGUUCUUUAAGUCUGAUGUGAAAGCCCACGGCUCAACCGUGGAGGGUCAUUGGAAACUGGAGAACUUGAGUACAGAAGAGGAAAGCGGAAUUCCACGUGUAGCGGUGAAAUGCGUAGAGAUGUGGAGGAACACCAGUGGCGAAGGCGGCUUUCUGGUCUGUAACUGACGCUGAGGCGCGAAAGCGUGGGGAGCAAACAGGAUUAGAUACCCUGGUAGUCCACGCCGUAAACGAUGAGUGCUAAGUGUUAGGGGGUUUCCGCCCCUUAGUGCUGCAGCUAACGCAUUAAGCACUCCGCCUGGGGAGUACGACCGCAAGGUUGAAACUCAAAGGAAUUGACGGGGGCCCGCACAAGCGGUGGAGCAUGUGGUUU